GGUAGGAUGCCGCUGCAUUUACAGUGCAAUCAAAUGAGAAUGUGACAGAGACUCUGUAAGUGGUGGAUUUUGCUUCUUUUCUAAAUGGCACCCACUGCAUGUACAGCUGAGUGUGGACCUGGAGGAAAGUGAUUCUGCACAAACUGAUGAGCUUUGUGACCCACCUCUUUGAACAAUCCCCUUAUGUGUGUUUCAGCCCAACGCGUGUGGAAGAAGUGUUCCAGAAAGUUUUCCUGCAAACUGGAGAGUAUCGAGGCAGAGAUAAGGAGACAACUGGAACUGCUGAGAAAGAGAGCGAGGAAAAGGUCAGCAGCAUCCCUUCAGUAGUAGUGGAGCCAGCAUC